UACGGCGAGUGAAGCGGCAACAGCUCAAAUUUGAAAUCUGGCCCUCUUGGGGCCCGAGUUGUAAUUUGUAGAGAGUGCUUCGGGUGAGACCGCGUGUCUAAGUCCAUUGGAACAUGGCGUCWUAGAGGGUGAGAAUCCCGUAUGCGAUCGUGGCUCGAGCCCGUGUGAAGCCUCUUCGACGAGUCGAGUUGUUUGGGAAUGCAGCUCAUAAUGGGUGGUAAAUUUCAUCUAAAGCUAAAUACUGGCUGGAGACCGAUNGCGCACAAGUAGAGUGAUCGAAAGAUGAAAAGCACUUUGGAAAGAGAGUCAAAAAGUACKUGAAAUUGUUGAAAGGGAAGCGCUUGCAACCAGACCUGCCCGUAKGCGAUCAGCCGCUGUUCUCAGUGGUGCACUCGCUCUGCGAUCAGGCCAGCAYCGGUAUUGGCGGUGGGAUAAAGGCCUUGGGAAUGUAGCUCCUCUYCGGGGGAGUCUUAUAGCCCUCGGUGCAAUGCKGCCAGCCCAGACCGAGCGACCGCGCUYCGGCUAGUGAUGCUAGCGUAAUGGUUGUAAGCGACCCGUCUUGAAACACGGACCAUGGAGUCUAACAUCGAUNCGAGUGUUUGGGUGUCAAACCCAUGCGCGAAAUGAAAGUGAACGGAUGUGAGAACCCUUAACGGCGCANCANCGACCGAUCCAKAUGUCUUCGGAUNGAUUUGAGUAUGAGCAUCGCUCUUGGGACCCGAAAGAUGGUGAACUAUGCCUGAAUAGGGUGAAGCCAGAGKAAACUCUGGUGGAGGCUCGCANCGSUUCUAACGUGCAAAUCGAUCGUCAAUUUGGGUAUAGGGNCNAAAGACUAA
rnacentral:rRNA from 1 species